AUGUCUGAGUGGAGACCAGCGACUAGUGGAGUUCUUCAGGAGUCAGUACUGGAACCGGUGCUGUUCAACAUCUUUGCCAGUGACAUGGAUGGUGGAAUUGAGUACACCUUCAGCAAAGGCCUGUGCUAUUGUGUGAUGAUGGAAGGUUACAAACUCAAAUUUGGAUCUGGAACAAGACUUCUGGUUUUGCCAGAUAUUACUCCAUCUCCUUCAUUGUACAAGCUGAUCUCUAAAGAUAAUGAGAAUUUGGAAAUGUGCCUUAUCACAGAUUACUCCCCUGAAAAGCUUAGUCUUAACUUGUCUGAUAAGCAGACAAAUGUUGUUGUGGAGGUGGCAACAUCCGAGAGCAAACAGGAAGCGAGCUACCUGUCAACCUACUGGGCAAAGAAAGAUGAAAUGCAGUGUGGUGCAAAACAUGACGGCUUUGGAGAACUAGAAGGAGAAGACCCUGAAAGUGGUACCAGCACUGUCUGUGUUACAGAGGUGUCUCCACAUUUCAGGACAGAUGAAAAUCUGAACAUGAGUUCUUUAUCAAAGCUGGGCCUGAAAAUAAUUUUAAUGAAAGGAAUAAUUUUUAAUGUACUGAUGACAAUGCUAAUGUGGAAAAAAAAGUGA